AUUGAACGCUGGCGGAAUGCUUUACACAUGCAAGUCGAGCGGCAGCGCGGCCUUCGGGCUGGCGGCGAGCGGCGAACGGGUGAGUAAUGCAUCGGAACAUGCCCAGUCGUGGGGGAUAACACUUCGAAAGAAGUGCUAAUACCGCAUACGUCCUGAGGGGGAAAGCGGGGGAUCGCAAGACCUCGCGCGAUUGGAGUGCCCGAUGUCAGAUUAGCUAGUUGGUGGGGUAAAGGCCUACCAAGGCGACGAUCUGUAGCUGGUAUGAGAGGAUGAUCAGCCACACUGGGACUGAGACACGGCCCAGACUCCUACGGGAGGCAGCAGUGGGGAAUUUUGGACAAUGGGGGCAACCCUGAUCCAGCCAUGCCGCGUGAGUGAAGAAGGCCUUCGGGUUGUAAAGCUCUUUCGGCAGGAACGAAACGGUGGGCUCUAACAUAGUCCGCUAAUGACGGUACCUGAAGAAGAAGCACCGGCUAACUACGUG
rnacentral:rRNA from 1 species